CUAUGCAUCUCUUAUCAUUAUCAGAAUCAAUUACGUAUAUAUCAAACGGAAAUGGCUACUGAAAACCUAUCUUUGCUCAACGAAAUACAUUGGGGAACUGAAGCCUGAAGGACGAAUGUUAAGAUAAUCAGGCUUUGGAAGAAGAAUUGUAGCAUCAAUCCUUUGAUUUUGGCAAGUAUUGAGAUGGUUAUGACAAGCAGGCUACCGGAUGCGUUAUUCAAGCAAAGAAAAGUACUGCCUCGAGUGCAUGUUAAAAGAAAGUGGCCGAACAUGAUGAUCUAGAUCCAGAUUUUCAUAAAAUCAAAAUCACAAAGCUAGAGAAGUUUUAAAUACUUCUCAUUACCACAGGCGUCAUGUUCAUAUUUUCAUUUUUGAUUGAGACUUUUUUAUAUAGUUUAAUUUCCACAUUGCAUGGUUA